AGUGAACGCUGGCGGUAGGCCUAACACAUGCAAGUCGAACGGCAGCACAGUAAGAGCUUGCUCUUACGGGUGGCGAGUGGCGGACGGGUGAGGAAUACAUCGGAAUCUACUUUUUCGUGGGGGAUAACGUAGGGGAACUUACGCUAAUACCGCAUACGACCUACGGGUGAAAGCAGGGGAUCUUCGGACCUUGCGCGAUUGAAUGAGCCGAUGUCGGAUUAGCUAGUUGGCGGGGUAAAGGCCCACCAAGGCGACGAUCCGUAGCUGGUCUGAGAGGAUGAUCAGCCACACUGAAACUGAGACACGGUCCAGACUCCUACGGGAGGCAGCAGUGGGGAAUAUUGGACAAUGGGCGCAAGCCUGAUCCAGCCAUACCGCGUGGGUGAAGAAGGCCUUCGGGUUGUAAAGCCCUUUUGUUGGGAAAGAAAAGCAGCAGGUUAAUACCCCGCUGUUCUGACGGUACCCAAAGAAUAAGCACCGGCUAACUUCGUG
rnacentral:rRNA from 1 species